UGACAAUGAAUAUAGUUAAAGGGACACUAGAGUCACCAGAACAACUACAGCUUAUUGAAUUUGUUCUGGUGAGUAGAAUCAUUACCAUCAGGCUUUUUGCUGUAAGCACCGUCUUUUCAGAGUAAAUGCUGUGUUUACAUUACAUCCUAGUGAUAACUUCACUGGCCACUCCUUAGAUGACUGGUAGAGAUCCUUCCUGGGUCAUGGCUGCCUAAAAUGCAUCCAAACAUUCAGUGUCUCCUCCCUCUGCAUGUAGACACUGAACUUUCCUCAUAGAGAUUCAUUAAUUAAAUUCAUCUAUAUAAGGAGAUGCUGAUUGGCCAGGGCUGUGUUUAAAUCAUGCUGGCUCUGACCCUGAUCUGCCUCUUUGUCAGUCUCAGCCAAUCCUAUGGGGAAGCACUGUGAUUGGAUCAGGCCACCACUUCUAAUAAUGUCAGCAGACUGCUUGUUUUUAUGAGUCUAACAGCAUGUAGAGUUACAGCUUCAGGCUUGAAUAUAGUAGGAUUUUGCUAUAUUUAUGGAUGCAUGAGGGGCCCAGG